ACAUAAAAUGAUUAUUUAUGAUCAAAGACCAAAAUGGAAUUAGUCUUUUAUGUCAGUCCUAACUCUUUUGAAAUCAUCUGUCAACAGGAUAAAGUUUAGUAAGCAGCUUCAUUUUGAAUAACAGCGAAACUGAGACCUGCUAGAACAAGGUUCUUCACUUUUCGUUUUUUUCAUGUCUCAGCUUUAAACAAAAUUCUGCAUUGAGGCCUGGAGCACUUAUGCUUCUACGCUGAUAUUACCCGGCAGUCCCUAACGUGGAAUACCCUGAAUGAGCAACUCUGUUCCCCCACCGCACCCCCAUGUUCUGACACUCUUGUGCUCAUCAUCAAGCCCAAAACCUACUGAAGCUAAGGAUGUGUCUCUCCACUUCGCGGUCCCUGUGGUCAUCUGUGUCAUGCUGAGUAUCACGUGGGGAUCCCUAUUCCCCAAGAGCUGAGAUUGACGAUGCGUGUGUAAGUAACACAGAGAUGGCUUGUGGACUAUCUUCAGUAAUUAAAAACAGCCCCUGUUGCGUUAUUCCUAGACCACUCCCAUGUGUCAAACCAACUCAAUGUUCACGCCCAGGAACUAAAAAUAAAGGGCCAGGAGAAAUAUGAAAAAAGAAGCA
rnacentral:lncRNA from 1 species